CCUAUGUCUUAUCCAAUUACCUUAAAAAUCGAAAAUGCAUAAAAAAAUCGGUGAACCCAAAAAUUGGUCGGUUUUUAGACAAAUCCAUUUGAAUCGGCCGGUUGAUGGGUUCAAGAUUUUUAAAGGAAAUUCAGAUCCCCCGAGCCCAAAGCCGAAAUCCGAAAAUGAGCAGACUCAGCAGAGCACAAUUAAAUCAAAGAUUCAAAAUCGAAAACUGAAGUCUGAAACCCUAGUCGGCUAGUCCUCUUCACUCUUUUCUUCACUCUUCACUCCAAUUAAGUUCAGUCAUCGAUUGAUUCGACUCAUCAGUGACUUCAGUUCGAGGCCGAGCUUCCUCUUCUUCUUCGAGUAACGCAAGAUUGCAACAGCAUUAAAGCUCCAGAAGGGAAAAAAAACAUGACUGAUUCAGAAAGGAGGAAGGAAAAGAAACGGCUAAAGAAGAAGCAAAAGGAACUCUUGAGGAAACAAACCGAUUCUAAUUUUCUAUAUUAUUUUCUUAAAAUAAUAAUAAUAUAUUUAUUUUAUAAUUAAA